rnacentral:rRNA from 1 species
UACGUAGGCAGCGAGCGUUGUUCGGAGUUACUGGGCGUAAAGGGUGUGUAGGCGGUUGUUUAAGUUUGGUGUGAAAUCUCCCGGCUCAACUGGGAGGGUGCGCCGAAUACUGAAUGACUAGAGUGCGGGAGAGGAAAGUGGAAUUCCUGGUGUAGCGGUGAAAUGCGUAGAUAUCAGGAGGAACACCGGUGGUGUAGACGGCUUUCUGGACCGUAACUGACGCUGAAACACGAAAGCGUGGGUAGCAAACAGG